ACCCUGGUGGUCCAGUGGUUAGGACUUGGCACUUUCCCUGCCAUGGCUCAGGUUCGAUCCUUGGUCAGGGAA